rnacentral:lncRNA from 1 species
GUAUGCAUCAGCUAACUUUGAUUUAAAAAAAAAAAAAAAAAAAAACGGAGCCGGAGGGGGGGGGGGGGGGGGGGGUUGGGGGGAGUUUACAAAUUACACCGCGAUUAGCCGGGAUCCUUCGGAGGGGGGGGGGGGGGGGGGGGGAGAGCGAGGGAGGAAGGGGGGCCCGCGGUUAAAGUCACUUCGGCAAAGUUUGCUCGGCGGCAGCCCUCGAAAACACAAAGUUUCUGGGCGAGUUGAGGGCAGGGGCGGUGCGGCUCGCCGUGCGGAGGGCAGCCCCCGGCCGAGGCACCCCGCGCCCGGCAGCCCGGCUCCGCUCCGCGAAGUAACGGUUCGAAAAGAAACGAGCGAGAAAGAGGCAAAACAAUCACCCCCUUCAUUGAUACCGAUCACCCAACAUCACAAGACAUCCCCAUCUCUCAGCGUGGACUCCCCCUAUCUGCAAGGGUGAAACUGGAAUGAAAUGGUCCAUCCAAGUCUUACUGAGACUGACAGGCUGGAGACCUGGCUUUGAAGUUUCCUAUGGACAAAAGUGGUUACUUUUGUAUUUCUACUGAAGAAUCUAUGCAUAACCAGAUGAAUUCAAAGGUAAGCCAUCUCUGAAACAACUGGGAAGUAAGUCAAAAACGUGGGCGUUUUCAUCAGACAGUUGAAAACCUGUUCUACACAAGAAGGUGAGAAAGAUCUUCUCUCUCUUGAGCAUUCACCACCACUCCUUCUCACCACUUACCUGCACUCCAAGGAGGAGAAAAAUUGUGAACAGAACUGAAAUUUCCAAGUUAAAAAAAAAAAAAAAGUGAUUGGAGAAAAAAUGGCAAUUGUAAGGGAAGAGAGCCUGAAAACCCAGGUAUUCUCACAUCCUACAAAUAAGCAAUAAUAAAAUCAAUAACGAAGCCACAAAAGGUUGUUCCAGUUUUUCAAUCCUGAUUAGGAAUUAAAGUCCUACAGAAUUCAAACAAGCUACACCUUUUUGAAGAAUUUUUUAAGUUUGGGGCUCUUUUAUUUUUUUCUUCUUAUGCCAUUUCAUCUUUAUGCUGAAUUUAAGUCGUAACAGAUGCUAUAUGAGUGUCAUUUUAGGAUAUAAAUUACAAACUGAAAGAGCGCUCGAGGAUCACAAGGCAUGAGCAUGUAUGGCCAUGUUGUUUUACACCUCUGUAGCCAGGACUUGUCAUUCUGAAAUCCUACAGAUGUGCUAACAGCUGCAGAGGUGGGUAAGGAGCUGGAGCUGCCUGCGUGCUGGAGCCUUGCCAAGCAAGCAUUGCCCGUAGCGAUGCUGAGGGUCAAAUGGCUGGGACAGGAUGGAUCUCACUUCACAAAGAGUGGUAGCCACUGCAUGGGGUAACCAGCCAUCCUCACGGAGACAGCUUACGUCCAGCUCUAAGCAUCCACUGCCAAACUGCAUUUGUGAAAAGUGCAGAGAGGGUUUUGUUUUAGUUUGUUUUGUUGGUUGUUGGGUUUUUUUUUUUUUUUUUUUUGUUUUUCUGUUUCUACUGUAGCUAGUAGCAAAUCCUCAAAAGCUGACUGAUACACCAAACAAAACCAGUGAAACUCAAAGAUGACUGGGCCUUAUUAUGUCCUUUAAGGAAUCAAAAUAUCCCUAACACCUUUUCCAAGCUCAUAGGCAUUUUAAAAUGUGCUACACCCUUUCCCAUCCUCUACACCCCAUGCAUGGACUAGUCAAUAUAUGACCAAAUACAUAGGCUUGAGGCACGUUUUAUUUGUGCAAAUGGGUCCACGUUACUUCUUCAGUCCAUGCUUUGCAAGCAUUGUGAUGCUAUAAUUCAUUUCCACAGAAUAUGUGGCCCACUGGGUAAAAUUUCAGUUACACUAGUGAAAAUGUUGAAUAAGCCCUUGGAAGCUAAAACUAAUGACCACUUUAGAAAUCCAAAGGUGAUGAGCUUAUCUGGUUAAUAAUAAGCUUUUUAAGAAAAAGUUAUCAAUCUGUAUUUAACCAAUAGACAGGAACUGGUUCAAAAAGAGUCUUUCCAAUUCAUCAGGUAAUGAAUGCCUAUUAAAAAACUAUAAAUAAGCAUUCACCCGAGAGCUUGGAAUGGCACUUUGAGAGCCUUCCUGGUCACUCAGGUAAAUAAUGAGUUUUAUAUAACCUUUCGGCAAAGAUUUUUUAUAAAUGAGGAGAUGAAAUGCAGAAAAGCUUCCAAUUAAUGUAAGUUUGGGGUGCAAGCCAACACACAACUGGGAAUUCAGAGUUAAAGCUGGCAUUAUUGUUCACUCACAUGGUUUUCUGUAAGAGCUCAAUGUUGUAUUUACUCUGACUUGUUUGUGAUGGUUUCAAUUUAAAAUUUUAUUUAUAUGUGAUGUUUAAGCUGAUGACUAUUUUGUACAUUAUCUGCUCACACAGCAAACACUGAAGUCAAUAAGAAUUGUAGAGAAGGGCAGGACAUCGGCCCCUAACCAAUGUGCAGCCAACAGUGAAAAUGACUGCAGUGGUCUCUCAUCACAGCCCCCAUCAAAUCUGCAAGCACUGUGCUUGCUCGAAUCUUAAGAGAAAGAAUAAGACCAAGGGAAAAAAUCUGGUAUCUCAUUCUGUCGAUAUUUACUACUCUCCUGUAAAGUAACUCUUAUCAAAUAUUUUGAGCUAUCUUGAUGACUAAGAAAAAAUAUACCCAUAAAGAGGCCCAUCAGUUAUCUUAAAAUCAAAUAAACUGGCAACCAGGAUAUAUGACAAAAUUAAAUGUAAGCCCUUUCCUGGAUAACUGUACAGUCCCCUAUAGAGAAUUGCUCAUCAGCUGUCCUCAACACCUGAAACCUUUGGCUGAGAAGACUAACACAGAUUUCACACCCUGAACUUAACAAACUUCAUUUGUUAUGUACUCAGAGAAUGAAAAUUGUACUACGGGCUCAAGGAUCAAAAAGGAAAACUCCCAACUAUAGCCAUGGCAGUGUUUCACAGUAAGACAGGCAUUUGAAAAGGCUAAAAUGCAAACCAAGAGGGGAAAAAAUAUAUAGUGUUUGUAUUCAGUAGAGAUCUUUCCUGACCUUUGUGAUUCUAAAGAAAUAUAUCCUUCCAAUUGUUCCAUAUUGUGUUACAACAUAUUUUUUGCAUUUAUUAAUAAUUCAAACAUGUUGUUGUUGAAAAAAAUUAUUCACAUCAUGUGUUCAUAGUUUCCAUAUACAUAUGUCAAACUUUAUUUUGUUUUACCAUUAUAAUCCAUGAAUGGAUUUACCCUUUGUUUCUGUUUUCAAAUCUCUGAGGAAUGUUUGAUUAGGUAGGAGGGUUUGUUUUAUGCAUUACUUGUUCAUCAUUGCACAAGUGCACAGGCUAAACAAAGUUGGCAUACUUCAUACUGAUUGGUGGAAACCACGUAGUUAAACAGUGUAGUUAAUACAGGGGAAUGAGUAAUUUCUCAGCACAGCUAAUCAGCUGCACAAUAGCUAUGUAUCAGACACUGCAGCCAUAUAUCAAAAAGGCAUUUUAAGGUAGCUUGCAGCAUACGUGAUUAUCUGGUAGUAUCUGUUACAAUCAUUUCAUGUUAACAUACUUUUGUAUUUAAUAAAAAUAAUGUUGUGUGCAGCAGUCUAUAUACAUAACUGGCCAGGAUACCAGGAACUAUCAAGUAAAUUGCAAACACAGUAAUGUUCUAGCUGAUACAUGUGGAAAAUAUGUCCAGGUUGUUCCGACUUGGCUAUGUCAGGUGUAAAGGAAAAGCAAGAGCUCUGAAGAUGACAGAACAGCUAUUGCUUCACUGAAGAACUUAAAUCAAUUGCAUAAUUCUAUAGCUAUCUCUCCAUUCAACUAUAACUAAGAAAUAAUAAGAUAAACACCUUGUGCUAUUAUUUACCAUCUGUCUUCUGCAUUAAUGCUUUUUCGUCCCUUUGUAAUGAGCUGUACACGUUAUUAUGACUUCCAUUCCCGAAGAACUUUAACAGUUCAGAAUGCUGUCUCUCCAUUAGAAAACGAAGUUGAGUUCAGUAGGAGUUAACAUUAACAAUUCAAGAGCCUGUAGAAGAAAUUAGAAACAUGAGCCCUCCAUAAUGAUGAUAAAAUCAAACUGGCA